GCAGCGACUCUAAAGAACUGCGCCAGUCGGGCUCCAUCUCGGGGCCUGGCGACGCCAUCAGUUUGGCUGGGAGUCCCCUCCGCGGGGGGCCAUCAGCAGCUCCCUCGGGAGUCCACAGAUCAAACGAUGAGCGGCCGUUUCACUGCGGUUCAGAUAUGACCGGCCCCAGCCUUCAUCGGCUGGUGACUUUUUGCGGAACCUGCGGAAGGAUCAUUAAUGAGAGAGGGGCUUCGCGCCCCGGCGGCUUCGCGGCCGCCGACUCUUCACCCUGUGUCUCAUCUACCUAUGUUGCUUUGGCGGGUCCUGGGGGUAAACCCCACGCCAACCUCGGGCUUUGCUGCCCGGGUCGGCCAGCGCCCGUCGAAGGCCCCAUCCAACUCUGUUUAUCAGUGAUGUCCGAGUACAAACACAAUAAUCAAAACUUUCAACAACGGAUCUCUUGGUUCU
rnacentral:misc_RNA from 1 species